GUUAACUUCACUACUCCUAUGAAUUCAACCUUCACUUGAAAUCCAUUUGAAACGCUCAGGCUUAGUUCAUUCUCACUUGACCUCCGUUUGCUUAUGAACCCCUGCAAGGAAUUCGCAAUAUGAAUACUAGCUCCCGAGUCUAACCACCAAGAAUUCAAAGGUACAUCUACUAAAGAAGACUCAAAACAAACUAAGGCCAAGGGAAUACCUG
rnacentral:lncRNA from 1 species